rnacentral:lncRNA from 1 species
AUAGGACGUACAAAAGACAGCCUAAAGUAAUGGGAGCUGCUUGAUAGCUUACACACACUAUGUCUAUGUAGAGAAGAAUAGACAAUGUGACAUCUUCACAUGCUCAGCUUGCCUGCAUACUUAUACUUUAGAAGACAUCCAUAAAGGUAUACACGAAGAAUUAACAUGGCCCACUUAAUUUUUUUUUUUACCUUGUUUAAAUUAUAUCCGAAUGUGCUGUUAUAUAGGUCUGAUAAGAAUAAAAAUGUAUUUUUUUAUAAAUUAUUAUUUAUAAUAAAAUAUUAAAAUGAAUUCAAUAUCAUAUUUUGCAGGAUAAUUGGAAAUGAAAUUACGAUUUCAAGUAAUUCAACGAUGUUUACCUCGUCCGCCAGAUACUAAUAUGGUUCUGAGACCAUUAAAUUCAGAGCUUCCUUUGACAGAUCUUCAAAGAGUAAUUUAUAAAUUUCCAUUAUCAUUUGUAUUUAAAUACAAUUUGAACUUAUUUAUUUGUAUAGGCUGAAUAAUUAAUUAAACAAGAAAUGAUUAUGAUGCUUCAUUGUGAUGCUGUUUGCAACCCUCUUCCUCCAGAAGUUGCAACAUUCACUCAAAGUGGUUCCAAAAAACUGAAGGUCGACAUUUGGCAUAUUUACAGGCACAUCCAUAUCAAAAAUUUACCGAAAGAGAAUUAGAAAAUGUAAAUAAAAUAAUAUUUAUUUUAAAACGAUUUUUUAAUGUAAAAGUAUACUUAGUGAUAUGUCAUUUUUUUUUGUAUAUAAUGUAUUUUCGAUAUGAUCAAAUACUCUGUUGUUUUGUUUGAAUAAAACAAAUUAAAAAACUAAGUAAAAAAGAUCUUCAAACUCAAAUAUUUCCGAUAAGUUAAUAGAUGUUAACAAACACCUUGUAAAAAGUAUAUAUUAAUUAACCCAAUAUAAAUUAUAAUAGGACAGUGCUAUUAUAACUAAAUUAUUUACUAUUUACAAUAUAAUUCCAAAUAUUGUUUUAGGCCAAACAAAUUUUGAGAAAAGAAAUGGAAAUUGUUAAAUGAAUGAAUGAAUGAAUCAUGGUGAUCUAUCAUUGGGUUCAUUUACCCAAGUAUGGGGUGAGUGUUUGGAUCAAGUAUUGUUCUUACCCAAUUAAAAUUGUUAUACAAGAGCAAAUUUAGCGAGUAUAAAAGACAGGAUUAAAUCACUAGAGAAAAAGCUAGAGCAAAAUAGGGGUAAUAUGACAAAAGAAGUCAAAAAAGCUGGUAAAAUGGAAAAAAAAAUUAAAAUUAUUCUUGGAGGAUAUCAAGUACAAAAAAUAAUAAUUAUUUACAAAUGUUCAGUUUUGUAUCUUAUAAUUCUGUUUUUACUCGUUCUCAAGGACUUAUUAAACAGUUUCAUACUCUUGUUGAUGAAAUUGAACAAGCACAUUUAGAAUUAUCAACAUUUUAGUUUUUACAAAGAGAAGAACCUGUUAUACCUAAUUGAUUACAAGUAUCAUAUUUAAUAUUGAAACUUCAUAAAAAAAGAACACAAUGAUUAUUUUAAAUUUAUAGUGAAAUAAUGCUGCCAAAUUUUUUAUUUGGCUUGUUAAAAAAAAAAAAUUAAUUUUACAUUUUGAUUUCUUUUGCAUAGUCAUUAACUGAUGAUGUAGAUUGUCAAAAAGAACGAGAAAGAAUUUUGCAACAAAAGUACUUUGAUCUUGAAACACGAUGGAAAGAUUUACAGAUAGGAAAUGACCUGAAUGAUAAAUAGUUAUGUUAUAACUUAUAAAUUUAAUAAUUAUUGUUUUUCUUUUUUUUCCACUUAUAU